rnacentral:lncRNA from 1 species
UAAAAUUCUAAAUUUGAUAGUGAUAGUGAUAUUAAUUCCUAACUGAUUCAAAUGGCAAAUAACGUUUCUAAAUUUAUCAUAUCAGUCCUGCUUUAAUUUUCGCGGACAAAUGUUAGUUUUGAGCACAAAUUUAACCUGAUAAUUCAUAUGUGUAUAUAUAAUUGUGGAUGUGUGACAUUUAUAUUUUCUAUUUUAUUUUCGAUUGAAGAAUAUUUCCAAGAAAAAAAUUAUACAAGCUGUACACAUAUUUAUAAAUAAACUCAUCAUAUAUAUCAGGACUAAAUUUUAUAUAUACGCCAGACGCUCGUUUCGUCUACAAAAGACUCAUCAGUGACGCUCGAAUCCAAAAAAGUAAAAAAAAAGCCAAAUAAAGUACGAAGUUGAGGAGCAUUGAGAUCCAAAAUUCCUAAAAGUGUUGCCAAAUACAGCUAAGGUAAUCAAUGCCUGAGGUAGAAAAGCCUUAGUAUUUCAAGAAAUUCAAAAUUUUGUAAACAGUUAAUUUAUAGAUACAACAAUAUCCAUGAUAAUUCAUGUAAGCACAAAAAGUGCUGACUACUGGGCUUGUGAU